rnacentral:rRNA from 1 species
CAGCCGCCGCGGUAAUACCAACCCCGCGAGUGGUCGGGACGUUUAUUGGGCCUAAAGCGUCCGUAGCCGGCCCGGUAAGUCCCUCCUUAAAGCCCACGGCUCAACCGUGGGAGCGGAGGGAUACUGCCGGGCUAGGGGGCGGGAGAGGCCGGGGGUACUCCUGGGGGAGGGGCGAAAUCCUAUAAUCCCAGGAGGACCACCAGUGGCGAAGGCGCCCGGCUAGCACGCGCCCGACGGUGAGGGACGAAAGCUGGGGGAGCAAAGGGGAUUAGAUACCCCCGUAGUCCCAGCUGUAAACGAUGCAGGCUAGGUGUUAGGCGGGCUUCGUGCCCGCCUAGUGCCGUAGGGAAGCCGUUAAGCCUGCCGCCUGGGGAGUACGGCCGCAAGGCUGAAACUUAAAGGAAUUGGCGGG